rnacentral:rRNA from 1 species
AGAGUUUAAUCCUGACUCAAAAUGAAUGCUGGUGGCAUGCUUAACACGUGUAAGUCGAAUAAGAAGUGGGGUUUCCAGUGGUAGACGGGUGAAUAAUGUGUAAGAACCUAUCCUUGGGAGGUGAACAGUAGCUGGAAACGGCUGCUAAUACCCUGUAGGCUGAGGAGUAAAAGGAGGAAUACGCCCGAGGAGGGGCUUAUGUCUGAUUAGCUAGUUGGUGAGGCAAUAGCUUACCAAGGCAAUGAUCAGUAGUUGGUCCGAGAGGAUGAUCAACCACACUGGGACUGAGACACGACCCAAACUCCUGUAGAAGCCAGUAGUGGGAAAUUUUCUACAAUGGGCGAAAGCUUGACGGAGCAACUCCACAUGGAGGUAGAAGGCCCAUGGGUCGUGAACUUCUUUUCCCAGAGAAGAAGCAAUGACGAUAACUGGGGAAUAAGUAUCAGCUAACUUUGUGCCAGCAGAUGUGGUAAGAAAAAUGAUGCAAGAUAGAGGAUGCAAGCAUUAUCCAGAAUGAUUGGGUGUAAAGCGUCUAUAGGUAGCUUUUUAAGUCAGCCGUCAAAUCCCAAGGCUCAACCAUGGAUAGGUGGUGGAAACUACCAAGUUGGAAUACGGUAGGGGUAGAGGAAAUUUUCGGUGGAGUGGUGAAAGCGUAGAGAUUGAAAAGAACACCAAUAGCGAAAGCAUCCUACUGGGUUGACAUUGACACCGAGAGAAGAAAGCUAGAGGAGCGAAUGGGAUUAGAUACCCCAGUAGUCCUAGCAGUAAGCAAUGGAUACUAGGUGAUGUGCGUAUCGACCCGUGCAGUGCUGUAGCUAACACAUUAAGUAUCCCACCUGGAGAGUACGUUCGCAAGAAUGAAACUCAAAGGAAUUGAUGGGGUCCUGCACAAGCGGUGGAGCAUGUGGUUUAAUUCAAUGCAAAGCUAAGAACGUUACCGAGGCUUGAUAUGCUGUGAAUCCUCUUGAAAGAGAGGGAUGCCUUUGGGAACGAGGACACAGGUGGUACAUGGCUGCUGUCAGCUCGUGUCAUAAUCUGUUGGGUUAAGUCCCACAACAAGCGCAAGCCUUGUGUUUAGUUUCCAUCGUUGAGUUUGGUACCCUGAACAGACUACAGGUGAUAAGUCAAAGGAAAGUGAGGAUGACGUCAAGUCAUCAUGCCCCUUACGCCUUGGGCGACACGUGCUAUAAUGGCCAGGACAAAGGGUCACGAUCUCGUGAGGGUGAGCUAACCCUAAAAACCCAUUCUCAGUUCAGAUUAUAGGCUGCAACUUGCCUGCAUGAAGUCGGAAUCGCUAGUAAUCGCUGGUCAUCCAUACGACGGUGAAUUCAUUCCUGAGCCUUGUACACAUCGCCCGUCAUACUAUGGAAGCUGGCCAUGCCCGAAGUCAUUACCUUAACAGCAAAGAGGGGGAUGUCGAAGGUAGGACUAGUGACUGGAGUGAAGUUGUGACAAAGUAGCCGUACUGGAAGGUACGGCUG